GACGAACGCUGGCGGCGCGCUUAACACAUGCAAGUCGAACGGAAAGGCCUGCUUUCCCUUGUGGUUUGCGGGUACUCGAGUGGCGAACGGGUGAGUAACACGUGAGUGAUCUGCCCCCAACUUGGGUAUAAGCCUGGGAAACUGGGUCUAAUUACCGAUAGGACUGCAGGGUGGAGCCGGUGGUGGAAAACGAUUUGCUAGUGGUUGGGGAUGAGCUCGCGGCCUAUCAGCUUGGUGGUGGGGUAAUGGCCUACCAAGGCGGCGACGGGUAGCCGGCCUGAGAGGGUGCACGGCCACAUUGGGACUGAGAUACGGCCCAGACUCCUACGGGAGGCAGCAGUGGGGAAUAAUGCACAAUGGGCGUGAGCCUGAUGCAGCGACGCCGCGUGGGGGAUGACGGCCUUCGGGUUGUAAACUCCUUGCGACCACGAGGAAGCCACCUGGUUGGAAGGGUGGUGACGGUAGUGGUAGAAGAAGCACCGGCUAACUACGUG
rnacentral:rRNA from 1 species